GUGCUUGCACUGAAUGAGAUUUUAACACGAAGUGAGUGGCGGACGGGUGAGUAACACGUGGGUAACCUGCCCAGAAGCAGGGGAUAACACCUGGAAACAGAUGCUAAUACCGUAUAACAGAGAAAACCGCCUGGUUUUCUUUUAAAAGAUGGCUCUGCUAUCACUUCUGGAUGGACCCGCGGCGCAUUAGCUAGUUGGUGAGGUAACGGCUCACCAAGGCGAUGAUGCGUAGCCGACCUGAGAGGGUAAUCGGCCACAUUGGGACUGAGACACGGCCCAGACUCCUACGGGAGGCAGCAGUAGGGAAUCUUCCACAAUGGACGCAAGUCUGAUGGAGCAACGCCGCGUGAGUGAAGAAGGGUUUCGGCUCGUAAAGCUCUGUUGUUAAAGAAGAACGUGGGUGAGAGUAACUGUUCACCCAGUGACGGUAUUUAACCAGAAAGCCACGGCUAACUACGUGCCAGCAGCCGCGGUAAUACGUAGGUGGCAAGCGUUAUCCGGAUUUAUUGGGCGUAAAGCGAGCGCAGGCGGUCUUUUAAGUCUAAUGUGAAAGCCUUCGGCUC
rnacentral:rRNA from 1 species